UACGAAGGGGGCUAGCGUUGUUCGGAUUUACUGGGCGUAAAGCGCACGUAGGCGGUUUGUUAAGUCAGGGGUGAAAUCCCGGAGCUCAACUCCGGAACUGCCUUUGAUACUGGCAAGCUAGAGUCCGGAAGAGGUAAGUGGAACUCCUAGUGUAGAGGUGGAAUUCGUAGAUAUUAGGAAGAACACCAGUGGCGAAGGCGGCUUACUGGUCCGGAACUGACGCUGAGGUGACGAAGCGUGGGGAGCAAACAGG
rnacentral:rRNA from 1 species